UAACUGGUCCGCCAGGCUCCUCAGGUGCGC
rnacentral:sRNA from 1 species